AGUGCAAACUGUGAGCGAAACAUUCCAACUGCGGUGGCGUGGCCCGAAGUGUGGAAGAAGGGUGCGUGGUUAUAUGCAGGCAGGUCAGCUGACAUGGUUCCGAGUUGCCAGCAGUGUGGAUGACUAUCAAUUAGGUUUGUCGGCGCGGCAUCUGGUGGAUCCCGGCCGCUUUUUGUAGAAAAAGGCUCGCUGCUUGAGAACUGGUUGUGGCAGCAGCAUUCGCUCAGCCGAGGCCCAGCCAGAGGUGCCGGUGACGUGGAACAGGACUGGCCAAGCAGCGCCGUGAACAGGACCUGUACGAGUGCAAACUGCCUACUCUCUGGUCCUCUCAGCGAACUCUUCACCACAGUUCCCGUGCUGGUUGGGGGAUCUGUGCUUGCAGCAGCCGGCAUCAUAGCGUCUUCAUUUGCCCCGGAUAUUACAUGGCUCACUGUCACGCUAGGAGCAAUGCAUGGUCUGGGCCUUGGCAUGGUGACAACCAUGCUGCAAGUACUCAUCAGCAUGUACUUCCAGCGGUACCGUGGUGCCGCCAACGGUAUCAUGUUCGCCGGCUCCACAGCCUCGGCGUUCAUCUUCCCCCAUCUGUUGCUGUACCUUAAAGGCACCUACGGCUUCUGAGGCAGCCUGCUGCUAUUUGGUGCCGUUCUGAUGAACAUGGUCGCCUUGAGCCUCGCCUUCCAGGAGCCACAUUGGGUUAGGAGGGACAGAAUCAAGAGCAGAAAGGGCUUAAAGGGGACAAGGAGGCCGUCAAUAUUCACAACGGGCUUAGAGCAAGGGACAAAAAGGGCGCCCGCCACCGCGGCAGUGCUAAGGAAUAUUCGCGGAGUGCUCAAGUGCGCCAUGAUGUACGUUCUCGUGAUCACGUCACUAGCGUUCAGCUACAACUACGACAUUUUCUGCUCCACGAUCGUCGACUUCGCCAUGGACUAGGGGAUGCCCCUAGAGGACACCGUGUCUUUCAUAACCUACACGUCUAUCACUGAUCUCGUGGGAAGGGUUGUCUUUCCUACCUUCACCGACCGUGGGCUCUUGCAGCGAUCCACGUUAAUGAUAUUGAAUUACUUUCUUCUGGGCUUGUGCAUUAUAUCACUGCCAUUCUGCAAGUGCUACUGGGUCCUGCUAGUGGCGUGUCUAGGUGCGGCCUUAUUUCUCGGUUGUGCCAUUACCAUGCAGAGCGUUCUGAUGGCACAGUAUUUGGGAAUCGAGAAACUUGCUGCAGGGUAUACCGUCCUCGGCGGCCUAUGUGGACCAGCGCUCUUAGCAAAGGCCCCUUUCGUAGGUGAUUGUCGUUUUCUCAUUUAUUGCUGCUUGCAUGCACAGUGCAUAAGUGGUGCCGUUUAGAGAAGUGAGAGCGACAAAAAUGUAAGAAGAUUGGUGAGUUUGGAUUGGUGGUAAUAAAAUAGAUAAGCUUGUCCUGGCGUGCAGAAGAACAAAUAACAGUGGAAUGGAAGCUUGAGAAAGG